rnacentral:snRNA from 1 species
AGUGUGAUCUUUAAGAGCAAAACUAUAUACUAAACUUGAAAUGAUGCAGAGAAGAUUAGCAUGGCCCCUGCACAAGAGUGACAUGCAAAUUUGUGAAGCAUUCCAUAUACCA